CCUACGGGUGGCAGCAGUGGGGGAUAUUGCACAAUGGGGGAAACCCUGAUGCAGCGACGCCGCGUGUGGGAAGACGGUCUUCUGGAUUGUAAACCACUGUCCCCAGGGACGAAACUGACGGUACCUGGGGAGGAAGCUCCGGCUAACUACGUGCCAGCAGCCGCGGUAAUACGUAGGGAGCAAGCGUUGUCCGGAAUUACUGGGUGUAAAGGGAGCGUAGUCGGGGAAGCAAGUUGGGUGUCAAAACUAUCGGCUCAACCGAUAGUCGCACUCAAAACUGGAGCUCUUGAGUGAAGUAGGGGCAGGGGGAAUUCCUAGUGGAGGGGUGAAAUGGGUAGAUAUUAGGAGGAACACCAGGGGCGAAGGGGGCCUUCUGGGGUUUUACUGACGCUGAGGCUCGAAAGUGUGGGGAGCAAACAGGAUUAGAUACCCGAGUAGUC
rnacentral:rRNA from 1 species